rfam:Triticum aestivum genome assembly, contig: Triticum_aestivum_CS42_TGACv1_scaffold_199590_3AL
AAAGUACUCCCUCCGUCCCAAAAUUCUUGUCUUAGAUUUGUCUAGAUACGGAUGUAUCAAGUCACAUUUUAGUAUUAGAUACAUCCGUAUCUAGUAAAAUCUAAGACAAGAAAUUUGGGACAGAGGGAGUAGUUG